CCUCUGCCCUCUGUCCUAACCUGCUCACUCCUCAGUAGGGACUCCAUCUCCGUCUCUACCAAAGUCCACGUUCGAGAACCUGUUGAUGGGGUGGUGAAAAGGCUGAAAUUGAUCACAAUGCCAAGAAUGUUCUCACUUAAAGAUAAAUGGAAGAAUUUUUACGUGCCACAAAUCAGUCAGCUGUCUUCCCUGCCUGUACAACUUGGAGGGGAAAAAAAUCAGGACUCUCUGCUUUCUCCUUCUGGAAAGAGUCGAACCAAAGAAUAAUCAGAUUCUGGGGGUCUUUCUGGGACUUUCAUCUACUGGUGACAUGACUAGAGCAGGAGGAGAACCCGGGUCCACGGCUGAGCUGAAGUCCUGACUUCCUUCUGUGGAAUUCCACACAGAUUCCAGUGUCCAGUCCCCUCACGGCUUUCUGGUAAGAAAAUGAUUGAACUGCAGGACACUCUUGGAAAGCAGGGCCCAUGCAGGGAGGAAGUACGGAGCAGAA
rnacentral:lncRNA from 1 species